GUCCACGCCGUAAACGAUGGGUGCUAGGUGUGGGAGGUGUCGACUCCUCCCGUGCCGCAGCUAACGCAUUAAGCACCCCGCCUGGGGAGUACGGCCGCAAGGCUAAAAACUCAAAAGGAAUUGACGGGGGCCCGCACAAGCAGCGGAGCAUGUUGUUUAAUUCGAUGCGACGCGAAGAACCUUACCAGGGCUUGACAUGCACCGGAAAUCCGUAGAAAUACGGCCCUCUUCGGGACCGGUGCACAGGUGGUGCAUGGCUGUCGU
rnacentral:rRNA from 1 species